rnacentral:rRNA from 1 species
AUUAACGCUNGCGGCAGGCUUACACAUGCAAGUCGAGCGGGGGAGAUUGCUUCGGUAAUUGACCUAGCGGCGGACGGGUGGGUAAUACUUAGGAAUCUGCCUAUUAAUGGGGGACAACAUCUCGAAAGGGAUGCUAAUACCGCAUACGCCCUACGGGGGAAAGCAGGGGAUCACUUGUGACCUUGCGUUAAUAGAUGAGCCUAAGUCGGAUUAGCUAGUUGGUGGGUAAAGGCCUACCAAGGCGACGAUCUGUAGCGGGUCUGAGAGGAUGAUCCGCCACACUGGGACUGAGACACGGCCCAGACUCCUACGGGAGGCAGCAGUGGGGAAUAUUGGACAAUGGGGGGAACCCUGAUCCAGCCAUGCCGCGUGUGUGAAGAAGGCCUUAUGGUUGUAAAGCACUUUAAGCGAGGAGGAGGCUCCUGUAGUUAAUACCUACAGAGAGUGGACGUUACUCGCAGAAUAAGCACCGGCUAACUCUGUGCCAGCAGCCGCGGUAAUACAGAGGGUGCGAGCGUUAAUCGGAUUUACUGGGCGUAAAGCGUGCGUAGGCGGCUUUUUAAGUCGGAUGUGAAAUCCCG